GGGGGAAUAUUGCACAAUGGAGGGAACUCUGAUGCAGCGACGCCGCGUGAGUGAUGAAGGAAUUCGUUUCGUAAAACUCUGUUCUAUGGGAAGAAAAGGACUGUACCAUAGGAGAAAGCUCCGGCUAAAUACGUGCCAGCAGCCGCGGUAAUACGUAUGGAGCGAGCGUUGUCCGGAAUUAUUGGGCGUAAAGGGUGCGCAGGCGGCUUUACAAGUUGGAUGUGAAAUAUUGUGGCUCAACCACAAACGUGCAUCCAAAACUGCAAAGCUUGAGUUAAGGAGAGGUAAGUGGAAUUCCUGGUGUAGCGGUGGAAUGCGUAGAUAUCAGGAGGAAUACCGGUGGCGAAGGCGACUUACUGGACUUAAACUGACGCUCAGGCGCGAAAGCGUGGGGAGCAAGCAGG
rnacentral:rRNA from 1 species